rnacentral:misc_RNA from 1 species
GAGGACUAGUGGUUUGCAUCGCACACAACUUCUCCAUGCUUCGACUCAGCAUGCACCGCAUAUCGCCACCCUUUUGGGUAGGGGCGCGCUUGUUGUCUUCGACCGCAGUCCUCCGUGUUGAGCAGAGUGCGGAGGAGCGCGCUAGGGAAGAGGAGCUCCGCCAAAAGGUCCAGCAGAAGUAUCGCGGAAUGCCGAUCCCUGAAAUGACCCAUCACGAAUAUGGGCACUUCUCUACAAUGGGUAUAAACGCAAGUGCAGCUCAGCAGGCUGCGCGAAGCGCUGGAGUACAGGGAUACCCAGGGUUUGGUGGCGGCGCUUUCCAGAAUCGAGGAAGGGUGGACUGGCUCUUCCUGUUGACAGGUUGCACGAUGGUGUACUUAUCCGGUAAGAUCCUCUUUCGUCAAUUCACACGCGGAGUAAAUGGGCUGGAGCUGCCUCUUUGGACGGCGAGCGUAGAACUACAGGCGAAGCACAUCCUGUUUGCUGUACAGUUUCAGCAAAGUGAGCAGGAGCAGAUGAAGAAGGACUUUGAGGCGGUUCGCCAAACCAACCCCUUUGUGGACUUCUUCGAGUGGGUGCGCUCGCGCAGGCCUGAGUUCUGCUGUGGAAGAAAGUAUGGAGCCGAUUACGUGAUGCACACGCUUGUUUCCUGUUUGCGUGGCAGUGACGGGACGCAGCUAGCCACUUUAGCUCGUACACUGCAGCAGUCUAUGACCCGGAGAAAUGGUGACUCCCUUCAGCGAGUGGACGACUUUGUAGAACAACUGCAGAGCGCCGGGUACCUUUUCCAUGGCAUCCGCGGUGUAGGCUCGUCUGGCGUGUACACCCCUGAGCCUUUACCUCAACCGAUUUAUACCCCUUUCCGUGAAGUUAAUCAGUGUGGAGCGCAAGAAUCCGAUCUCAUUAACGCUCUGGAUGUGAAGAACGGCGAGGCACACAGCUCUACUCCUUUCAGUGAGGCAAAGUAGAGAAUGUACCACACAGGCAUGACCUGCUUUCUCUUAACUUAGUAGUGUUUCUAUUUCUUUGCAUUCCGCGCGAAACGAGGUAG